AUACGGAGGGUCCGAGCGUUAUCCGGAAUCAUUGGGUUUAAAGGGCCCGUAGGCGGGAAUCUAAGUCAGUGGUGAAAUCUUGCAGCUCAACUGUAAAAUUGCCAUUGAUACUGGAUUUCUUGAAUUAGUGUGAAGUGAUUAGAAUGUGUAGUGUAGCGGUGAAAUGCAUAGAUAUUACACAGAAUACCAAUUGCGAAGGCAGAUCACUAACACUAUAUUGACGCUGAGGGACGAAAGCGUGGGGAGCGAACAGGAUUAGAAACCCUAGUAGUCC
rnacentral:rRNA from 1 species